rnacentral:rRNA from 1 species
GACGAACGCUGGCGUCGUGCUUAACACAUGCAAGUCGAACGGAAAGGCCCUGCUUUUGUGGGGUGCUCGAGUGGCGAACGGGUGAAUAACACGUGAGUAACCUUCCCUUGACUUUGGUAUAACUUCAGGAAACUGGGGCUAAUACCGGAUAGGAGCUCCUGCUGCAUGGUGGGGGUUGGAAAGUUUCGGCGGUUGGGGAUGGACUCGCGGCUUAUCAGCUUGUUGUUGGGGUAGUGGCUUACCAAGGCUUUGACGGGUAGCCGGCCUGAGAGGGUGACCGGCCACAUUGGGACUGAGAUAAGGCCCAGACUCCUACGGGAGACAGCAGUGGGGAAUAUUGCACAAAGGGGGGAAGCCUGAUGCAGCAACGCCGCGUGCGGGAUGACGGCCUUCGGGUUGUAAACCGCUUUCGCCUGUGACGAAGCGUGAGUGACGGUAAUAGGUAAAGAAGCACCGGCUAACUACGUG